rnacentral:rRNA from 1 species
ACGAACGCUGGCGGCGUGCUUAACACAUGCAAGUCGAACGGAAAGGCCCUGCUUUUGUGGGGUGCUCGAGUGGCGAACGGGAGAGUAACACGUGAGUAACCUGCCCUUGACUUUGGGAUAACUUCAGGAAACUGGGGCUAAUACCGGAUAGGAGCUCCUGCUGCAUGGUGGGGGUUGGAAAGUUUCGGCGGUUGGGGAUGGACUCGCGGCUUAUCAGCUUGUUGGUGGGGUAGUGGCUUACCAAGGCUUUGACGGGUAGCCGGCCUGAGAGGGUGACCGGCCACAUUGGGACUGAGAUACGGCCCAGCCUCCUACGGGAGGCAGCAGUGGGGAAUAUUGCACAAUGGGCGGAAGCCUGAUGCAGCAACGCCGCGUGCGGGAUGACGGCCUUCGGGUUGUAAACCGCUUUCGCCUGUGACGAAGCGUGAGUGACGGUAAUGGGUAAAGAAGCACCGGCUAACUACGUG